rnacentral:tRNA from 1 species
ACCUGGGUGGUGCAAAUGGUUAACAUGCUGGGCUACAAACCUAAAGGUUGGCGGUUUGAGUCCACCCAGAGGUA